rnacentral:rRNA from 1 species
UACGGGGGGGGCAAGCGUUGUUCGGAAUUACUGGGCGUAAAGGGCGCGUAGGCGGCCUUCUAAGUCAGACGUGAAAUCCCUCGGCUCAACCGAGGAACUGCGUCUGAUACUGGAAGGCUUGAAUCCGGGAGAGGGAUGUGGAAUUCCAGGUGUAGCGGUGAAAUGCGUAGAUAUCAGGAGGAACACCGGUGGCGAAGGCGGCUUUCUGGACAGUAACUGACGCUGAGGCGCGAAAGCCGGGGGAGCAAACAGG